rnacentral:rRNA from 1 species
GACGAACGCUGGCGGCGUGCUUAACACAUGCGAGUCGAACGGUGAAGGGACCGGUUUUUGCUGGUUCUGGAUGAGUGGCGAACGGGUGAGUAACACGUGAGUAACCUGCCCCCUUCUUCUGGAUAACCGCAUGAAAGUGUGGCUAAUACGGGAUAUUCUGCGCCUGCUGCAUGGUGGGUGUGGGAAAGAUAUUGUUUCGGUGGGGGAUGGGCUCGCGGCCUAUCAGCUUGUUGGUGGGGUGAUGGCCUACCAAGGCGGUGACGGGUAGCCGGCCUGAGAGGGUGGACGGUCACACUGGGACUGAGACACGGCCCAGACUCCUACGGGAGGCAGCAGUGGGGAAUAUUGCACAAUGGGCGCAAGCCUGAUGCAGCGACGCCGCGUGAGGGAUGGAGGCCUGCGGGUUGUAAACCUCUUUCGCCAGUGAAGCAGGCCUGUCCCUUUUGUGGGUGGGUUGACGGUAGCUGGAGAAGAAGCGCCGGCUAACUACGUG